GAUGAACGCUAGCUACAGGCUUAACACAUGCAAGUCGAGGGGCAGCAUGGUCUUAGCUUGCUAAGGCCGAUGGCGACCGGCGCACGGGUGAAUAACACAUAUCCAACCUGCCGUCUACUCUUGGACAGCCUUCUGAAAGGAAGAUUAAUACAAGAUGGCAUCAUGACUCCACAUGUUCACAUGAUUAAAGGUAUUCCGGUAGACGAUGGGGAUGCGUUCCAUUAGAUAGUAGGCGGGGUAACGGCCCACCUAGUCUUCGAUGGAUAGGGGUUCUGAGAGGAAGGUCCCCCACAUUGGAACUGAGACACGGUCCAAACUCCUACGGGAGGCAGCAGAGAAGAAUAUUGGUCAAUGGGCGCAGGCCUGAACCAGCCAAGUAGCGUGAAGGAUGACUGCCCUAUGGGUUGUAAACUUCUUUUAUAAAGGAAUAAAGUCGGGUAUGGAUACCCGUUUGCAUGUACUUUAUGAAUAAGGAUCGGCUAACUCCGUGCCAGCAGCCGCGGUAAUACGGAGGAUCCGAGCGUUAUCCGGAUUUAUUGGGUUUAAAGGGAGCGUAGAUGGAUGUUUAAGUCAGUUGUGAAAGUUUGCGGCUCAACCGUAAAAUUGCAGUUGAUACUGGAUAUCUUGAGUGCAGUUGUGG
rnacentral:rRNA from 1 species